GUGAGGGGAUGGGAGUCUGGUGGGGCUGCGGGGUGGGUUGUGAGGGGAUGACAGAGGAGAGGGUCACUGAGUGAGAGGGUGUGAGUUGUGAGGGGUUGGGAUGGGUGUCGAGUGCAGCCUGGUAGGCUGAGGUAAGGGGACGGGCGUUGAGCGGGAACCGGUUGGACUGGGGAUGGGCUGUGAAGUGAUGAGGCUGGCAUCGAGUGGGCUCCAGUGGGGCUGAGAAGGAGGUAUGGGAAAUUGGAGAGAAAGCAUCUUCGUACAUCCUUGGAGAGGAACUGAUGGAAAGGAGGAAAGCGCUGAAGAGAUGGAGAAACUUCAGUGGGUGAACAGUCCUGUUUUACUUCAGUUUUGCACUGGGGACACCAUAGAGUACUUCUAUCUUCUGCCUCAAAAAAUGCAAGGACAUUUUCCUGGAAAAAGACUGAAUGUUAGCCUGGUGCCAACUGUGAGGAGUACAGGAAUGCUGAUUUCAAAUACCUGAGUGGGAAUGGAGCUUGCUGGACCCCACGGCCACCCUGUAAGUAGGAGCUGCUGCAGAAGAAAGAAGGAGCAGCAUGUGGAAGUGUGUGAUGUGGGGCCUGAAAGAGAGAACUGGCAGUCUUAUAACAUUAGCUGUUGCUGUGUGGUGUUUCAAGAUAUUCUUGCCUUUUUUUAAUAACUCUUUCCAGCUCUGUACAGCCUUCUACCUUUUUCUUUAUUAAAUGUGUUUUAGUCUCUGUUUGUUAUUUCCCUCUCUGUCCUUCGUCUGUACUUGGUUUUGUUAUUAUUCCAUGGAAGUUACUGGUUUACUAUUGAAUGUUAUUGUUCUUCUGCAAGUAAUCUGGGGCUCUCUUCCUCCUGUCUUGUGAAUAGCAGGUUUUGGUAGCUGAAUGAGGUAUCUCUGCUUGCAGGAUGACUCUUCUCAACUUUGCUCCCAUUGGGUUUUUGCAGUGUUUUUUAUCAGUUGCUGGGUAUUUACUCUGCUGUGAGUGCAGAAGUGGGUGUGCUCAUGGAUGAAUACAUGUUCCUGAUCCCCUUUAAUUGGUAUCUGUGUUAUAUCUGCUGUUGGUUUUUUUUUUUUUCCUAUUCCCUCAUUCCUUCUGUGUUCUUGAUUAUAUUGCACCUUCUGGGAUGAUGGACCUGAUCAUGUUUUCUGGUGUUUUUGUUUCUGAGUAUUCUUUACCUUUAACCAUGCAGGUAGCUCACUUUCUUGGGAUGUGGGGAAAAAAUAUGAUCCCAAGGAAAGAGAUGCUGGAAGGGGGCAGGAAUGGAUCUGCUGGAGGGAAUUCCAGGUCUGCUUGGGGUAGUCCUGGCCUGGAGAACAAAGAAUGGUGCAGGGAAGGCAUUGGGCUGCCUCACCAAGUGAAAACUUAUCAGCACAUGAAUGGUAGCAGCACAUCCAUGGAUAUGUAUAUUCCAAUUGGUACUUACAGGUAG
ensembl:lncRNA